ACCUCAUCUUCAGAUUGUAUCACCCGUGGAAGGGGAGUUAGCAGGGAGAGAACUCUCCACAUGAGGUUCUCCUCUCCCUGAUGCAGCAGCUGGAGCAAAUAAGGUUCAUCGUGGGCAAACGUGAGCUCAUUGUGCCUCCACUCCAAGCUGGCAGAGCAGUCGGGGUGUUUGGGCUCUGAGUCAGUGCUGUGAUAACUCGCUCGCGUGACCUGCUAAUUGAAGUUUGAGAUCCUUCAAGAUACCAAACUGUGGCACAGACCUGCUGCUCCGAGUCCCGGCUGUCUCAGAAUCCAAACCUUUUCAAAUCAUAAAUUUUAUUGCAAAUCGUAGAAGGACAAUGUGGGGUUUGGGAGAGGCAGGCCCUGAACCCAUUCUCAGUAUUUGGGGUAAGUCACCUGCGCUCUGUGACAACAAGACAAGUUCAAGAAACACAGUCCUCAGCAAAGCCCUUUUAGAGUCAGCCACACAAAAAGGUGAAUCUUAAAGACAAAAGAAAAUGGUAUUAGGAGGGAAGAUGUGGCAAUGAACAGAGGCCUUAAUUUGAUGCCAGUGGGUAUCUCAGAGUAAGCAAUUUCCCCAAGGAUUGCCAGAGAUGCGAAAUGAAUUGUAAGAGCUGCUUUACAGGCAGUUGUGGGCACACACCUGCUCACAGCCAGGGAAAGACAGUGCGUAAAUGUCUGGAAUAUUACAUAAAAGCUGUCUGGGAGACUGGGCAGAGCAAUUAAAAUCCAUCUCGCUUAAAUGAACCCUGAGUGCGGGUCAAACAAAUCUAAUUUUUAUUGUUCCUUAAGGAGAUGUCUGCACAGGAGACAAAGGGGGGAUGCAGCCAUCAGGUUAAAAAAUCAAGAUGCCUUUAAAAAAUUAAAUGUUCACAAUAGUGCUACAGCAAGCUGGAUAAAUGAUAUAUUACAGCGAUGGUUUAAAACUAAUUGAUGACUAAUGUUGUAAUGCAUUUGUAGCUACACUGAUCUAUUAUAUAUCUCAGCCAAGCUGAAGGGACACUUCAAGGAGAAAAAUUGCUAACUGUUUUAACCUGAUGGAACUCGGGGAAAAAAUAGUUACUUUAGGAGAUAAAUGGAAAGGUUGUGACCUCCUAAUGUACAUCUGGGUCUUGCAAUGCAAAAUCAAAUUAUCAUUAAACAGAAUGUGAUUGGUGAUGGAAUUAAAACAACUGCAAACCAGAAAUUUCCGUGGGGAAGCAACAAUAGCCCAGUUUGAGCUGGGGGCACUGGCUGAAAAGCUGCCUGGAUAAAGAACUGGUGUAACAAGUUGGGAUGGAAUUGCUUUGCUCUAUAAUGAAAGUUGGUUUAAUUGGAGACUGCAGGAAAACAGCAAGCAUCUUUACAUCCAUUUACAUACGUAAGCCACUCUAUAAACAUUACUUAAUUAGUGUCUAAAUAAUUAACAAUUUACCCUAAGUUCUCAGUAACAUGUGUCUCUCUGGAUCUGGGAGGGGAGACAGAUGCUUCAUUUUCCCCUCCUCAUUUUUGUCAUGCCUGAGGCUCGUGCCCUCUGGGUUUUACCCUUACAGUUGGAAUUUGGAGAAGAUGUCAGUCAGGCUCUGCUUAUUUUCACAUCUAAUUCAUGCAAAAACCAGGUUUCCUCCCGAGGCAGUAAACUGGCCCAGAUUUGCUUCAAAGUUUGGCCCAGGUUCAGUGAAUGACUCACUUUAACUAAGGUACAUCCAUCUUCCUGGCUGGAACACACAAUGGGAAGUGUUGUCACAGAGCAGAUACCCCCUAGAACCUCUCAGGGAUUCAGGGGCUCAGAAACCAAAAGCAGUGGCUUGUUCCAUCCCCUGGUUUCCUGUUACCCAACAUUCAGGACAUUGGGUGAUUUCCAAAGCUUGGGGCUAAGUAGAUAAUCCUGUAUGUCCCAAGAUGAGGAGUUCUCAGGGUGUGCUGUGACGAUGGGGAGAAGGUAUCAAUGGGAACAUCCCAUGGUAUUUCCAUGAUUGCAACAGACUGUAGACUUCCCUUGUUCCAGAAACUUGGCCUUACUUAGGAGGAAACCCCAUAACUGUCCCUUAGAAGUUGAAUUGCAUCAGUGUGGGAUCACAUGGUGUCACAAAACUUCACUUAUUCUUAUGGCAUUGGCAGUGUGGUUUUGGAAGAAAAAUCCCCGUGCUGUCUGGAAUGCUCAACUGUUGGGUACCAGAGUCGGAAAACAUCCUGCCUGCCGUGAACGUUAGAAAACAGAGCAGCCCUGACUCGAGUGCCAAGUGGUUUUUUGGAAGGCUGACUCCCCUGAGAAUAAAGGAUAUUGGUGUCCAGCCAAGAGGGCAGGCAGGAACAGGCCGUGGGCAAGACACUGGAAUUUUGGAGCCUGAAAUACUGUAUGUUUGUUUGUAUCAGUUUCUGACUUUGGUAUUAAAAGGUGAGCUGCCCAAAUGGGUCACAAAUUGAUAAAAUCUGAAUUAUUUUUUUUCUAGCUAUAUUUAGAGCCGUGUAAAACAGGGAUUUCCCUUUUUGGCUGCUCAAGUAUCUGAGUGUAACUUAAUAUUUCUGUUAAAAACAGAAAAAGUCCCCCAAAGGAAAUUUCCUUUUUUUCCUAUGGUACACUCAAAAAUUCCUUCUUGUCGUUACAAAAAAUUCAAUUGGUUUUUA